UAGCAUAAAACGCGAGCCAAAAAGCUAGAUUUUUAUAGCAAAAAGCCUCCCACGAUACAGUAGCUCGCAAAAAUUUCGCGACACAUGCACCGCAACGGGCGCCAUCUCGAAAACCAUGUACCUAGACUAUCCGAUGUAGAGCAUUACUAUACAUGUACAAGAGAACGUAACCUCUAAUCCUUGAAAAAGGUAAAAUAUAUUACCGAAACCGUCGGAUGUAGAGAGAAUAUCGUUCUCGCUGCCCUUUAAGACUGCAAAGGCC